UGGGGAAUAUUGCACAAUGGGGGAAACCCUGAUGCAGCGACGCCGCGUGAACGAAGAAGGUAUUCGUAUCGUAAAGUUCUGUCCUAUGGGAAGAUAAUGACAGUACCAUAGAAGAAAGCUCCGGCUAAAUACGUGCCAGCAGCCGCGGUAAUACGUAUGGAGCGAGCGUUGUCCGGAAUUAUUGGGCGUAAAGGGUACGCAGGCGGUUUAAUAAGUCGAAUGUUAAAGCUCGGGGCUCAACCCCGCAAAGCAUUGGAAACUGAUAAACUUGAGUAGUGGAGAGGAAAGUGGAAUUCCUAGUGUAGUCGUGAAAUACGUAGAUAUUAGGAGGAAUACCAGUAGCGAAGGCGACUUUCUGGACACAAACUGACGCUGAGGUACGAAAGCGUGGGGAGCAAACAGG
rnacentral:rRNA from 1 species